AUUGAACGCUGGCGGCAGGCCUAACACAUGCAAGUCGAACGAGUGGCGGACGGGUGAGUAAUGUCUGGGAACCUGCCUGAUGGAGGGGGAUGACUGCUGGAAAAGGUAGCUAAUACCGCAUACCCUCGGAUGUGCCCAGAUGGGAGUAGCUAGUAGGUGGGGUAACGGCUCACCUAGGCGACGAUCCCUAGCUGGUCUGAGAGGAUGACCAGCCACACUGGAACUGAGACACGGUCCAGACUCCUACGGGAGGCAGCAGUGGGGAAUAUUGCACAAUGGGCGCAAGCCUGAUGCAGCCAUGCCGCGUGUAUGAAGAAGGUCUUCGGGUUGUAAAGUACUUUCAGCGGGGAGGCGUUACUCGCAGAAGAAGCACCGGCUAACUCCGUGCCAGCAGCCGCGGUAAUUC
rnacentral:rRNA from 1 species